GACGAACGCUGGCGGCGUGCUUAACACAUGCAAGUCGAACGGAAAGGCCCUGCUUGCAGGGUGCUCGAGUGGCGAACGGGUGAGUAACACGUGGGUGAUCUGCCCCUUACUUUGGGAUAAGCCUGGGAAACUGGGUCUAAUACUGGAUAGGACCAUGCUGUAGGUGGUGUGGUGGAAAGAUUAGUUUCGGUAAGGGAUGAGCUCGCGGCCUAUCAGCUUGUUGGUGGGGUAUGGCCUACCAAGGCGUCGACGGGUAGCCGGCCUGAGAGGGUGGACGGCCACAUUGGGACUGAGAUACGGCCCAGACUCCUACGGGAGGCAGCAGUGGGGAAUAUUGCACAAUGGGCGCAAGCCUGAUGCAGCGACGCCGCGUGGGGGAUGACGGCCUUCGGGUUGUAAACUCCUUUCAGCCAUGACGAAGCCCUUGUGGUGACGGUAGUGGUAGAAGAAGCACCGGCUAACUACGUG
rnacentral:rRNA from 1 species